AGAGUUUGAUCAUGGCUCAGGAUGAACGCUAGCUACAGGCUUAACACAUGCAAGUCGAGGGGCAGCAUGUUGGUUGCUUGCAACCAACGAUGGCGACCGGCGCACGGGUGGGUAACGCGUAUCCAACCUACCCUUGUCCAUCGGAUAACCCGUCGAAAGGCGGCCUAACACGAUAUGCGGUUCACAGCAGGCAUCUAACGUGAACGAAAUGUGAAGGAGAAGGAUGGGGAUGCGUCUGAUUAGCUUGUUGGCGGGGUAACGGCCACAAGGCUACGAUCAGUAGGGGUUCUGAGAGGAGGUCCCCCANAUUGGAACUGAGACACGGUCCAAACUCCGUACGGGAGCA
rnacentral:rRNA from 1 species